UCCUCCCACCCCUCGCGCCCCUCCUCUGCCCACCACGCCCGCUCACCAGCCGUCGCUCAGAGUCUUCCGGAUCCUCAAUUCCGUGACACCGUAAAGAUACUUUGAGUAUGUCAUCUCCCAAAAACAACGGAGCCACAUGGAGACCAUUCCAUGAUAUAAGCAACACCAACCCCGAGGGUAGUACUCCAUCCUUAGGUCUAAAAUUGUGGCAUUUAUAAACAUGUGCGAGCCAGAAGAACAAAGAAUAUUAUGCCCAAAAUAGAGAUGCUAUACUGAGGAGGCGGCGUGAAGCCCUUGAGAAGAAACAAGCUUCAGUUGCUAUGCUCAAGGACACGGAAAUGUCACCACAUACACCCAUGUCCAAGGCCGAAGGUGAGUCUCAUGGAGAGCACACCCCAAUUCAAGACAUCGGCACCAACCACAACUCAGGUAGCCGUCAGCAAUUCAGCUCAGUUGCUGCAGCAGUUGCUGCUCAAGGCGUUUAAGAUUUACAGACAAGAAGCACCUGGAUGUGAUCACUUGUGAAGGUCCACCCUAUUCAACAGUGGAAAGAGUAGUAUUCAGUUUUACCUUGUUAUGCUUUUUAGUAUUUUUUUUCUUCCAACAUACAUUAGUGUUUGUUGCCUUCCUGAGAUCUUGGUAGUUAUGAAGAAGUAAAAGCAAAGGGGUUAGGAAAUUUCAACAAAGAACUCAAGAUAUGAUAGAUAGGGUCAUUGUAUAGUGAAAGGAAAAUUCAGAGGGCGCUCAACCAGAAAUGGAACUAUGAAGACGCAAAACUCUACACAGGGUUUACAUAAGAGGAGGAGGAGAAUGAUUAGAAGCCGGAGCAAUGGGAGAUUUGGAGCUGCUGAUCUGCUGCAUGGGGCCCCGCCGUGGCCACCAUGGAUGAUGAGGCUGAAAUAGUAGCAAUGGAGCCGUUCAAAACCAAGAGCUGCGUCUCAAGGAACAUGGGCAUGGCCAUGUAGUCAACGUCCGCCGCCGUCGCAUCCUCACGGUGAGGCAUGCGACCAGGUCCUCCAUUCUGUCUCAUCCUCAUGGUGGACGCUAUUGUUGUUCAGAAAUACUGCGUAUUUGAUUAAAGGAACUCACCUACUGAGGCAUCAACAUUGCUGAUCUCCACGGAAGGAAGCACAUGGCUUCGACAAGAUCCAAAGAACACUGCUUAUAACUGAACUUUCAACUUUUACAGCUAAAACAAGUCGAAAGGGCUGCAGAACUGAACUGGGUAUCACUGCUGGGUGUGGAAUUGAUGGUGCUUAAACUCUCAGCCUUUUUUUCUAAAUGUUAUCCAUAUUCACCUGGCAUGGCAGAGCAUGAACUUAUCCAAUAAUUCAGUGUCCAAAUGAACCAGAAUCUGUCACACAUACCAAUCCAACACAGGCUGCAAUGCUUAAAGGUACUUCAUCAGAGGUCAACAUGAGAAUUUCACUGGUAACACUACCAGCAGUUGCUGCUCAAGGCGUUUAGGAUUUGGAUGGUUGUGUCUUUUUUUAGAUCACGCGUACGUAUUAAUGCUUCCUUCCAUUCGGAAACAUGGAGUUUCUAUACUUGAAAAUUUUGUUGGUCUUUCAACAAGAUUUGUUCUAUUUCUCUGUACAAUAAUAGUGGAUAAUAUUGUGGAGU